GAUCCAUCUCUCCAGGCAGCGGCGAGGAGUUCGCGGCCCUCCCCGCCCCCUACCCUUGGCCGCGGCCCCUGCCCUUGCUGCCCGCGCACGCCUCCCGCAGCCUCUGGCCCCCCAUCUGAAGGACCCCGCUGAGAGUCCCGUCGACUUCUCAAAGUAAAAUGUGUCUGGCGCUGGGAAGCCGCGGAGCGCCCGGCCGGGACUACUUUCCGCUGCGCGGAGGAGUACGGGCGCGCUAAGACUCCAUACAAAGAGGAAACUAAUUGGGGGAAACUCGCUGCGCCCCCGCCUUUCCCAGGGGACGCGGGGCUGGCGGGGGCGGGGGCCGCGGCGCGGGGGACGGGCUUCCCAGGCGGCCGCCUCCCCUGGCGCGAGCUGCGUGGGGACUCGGGUCUGCGGUGCUGCCCGCUAAUUGGGUGGGGGAGGCCGGGGCCCCCGGGGUGGCUUGGGUGCGGGGUGCGCCGCGGCUUCAGAGGCCCAAGGGAGGGUCCCCGUGGGUCCCCGGGGCACAGAGUCCCGGCGUGGGGACGCCCAAGCCGCCUGGGUGGCCGCUGAAAGAUGAAUGAAGGGGCCCAGUCGUCCUGGGGCGGGGGUCCAGGAAGGGUAAAGAGGAAGAAGCUAUUUUCAUCCCAAGCUCUCGGCACGGGAGGAGGGUCAACUUCUUUCGGGGCGAGGGCAGCCACUUUUCCGGACCUGCCGCCCGCCCCGCCUCCCUACUCCCCCCGGCACCCCCACGAGGGAGAACACGGGGUGCGGGCGGGUGGGGUAGGCUGAGGCUAGCCUGAGAGCCGCUGCCUUGGAGAGGGACCACCGGGCAGCCGUACAGCUGUUAGGAGGCUGAGGAGUGUAACUGCCUUGGAGGUCCCGGUGCCCUACCCCCAGCCAACCCUGAAACUACGCGCCCUUCGUAAUUAGACCAGUGGAGGUCUAUACGGAAAAUCUUUUUAAAGCAGGGAAGGCUAUUUUUCUUUUAAGUUACUUCAAACCUGAGCUUAAUUUGGGGACUAGCUCUGGAUAUAAAUAGCUACAGGGAGAAUUUGGGAGUUUUAUGGUUUUAAAGCCUGAGUAAAUAAGCAGGGUUUUGUCUUGAACAUUUUCUGCAGCAUGAACCAUUAUUAACUUUAUUGAAGAGACCACGUUCACUUCUGCCUAAAUGGCCUUUAAGAAACAGGGCUGGGAGCCCUCCUGGUAUAGAAGCCCUUCCCCCACCAAGUUCAGGUGGGGGACUUAGACUUUUAGACUCUCCUCAAAAGUACGUCCCUCUCCUUGGAGUGCCCUGGAUGCUGCAGGUGUGUGCCCCAAUACACCCUGUCAGCUGGCCUGGGCAGGGUACAGAACCGGGGUGGCAUUCCCGGGGCUGGGCCACCGGCUAAGGCCUCUGACUCAUCCGGAGGUGAGCCCUGUGUGAGGAAUGAGGUCCAGAACACGCUGCCCCGCUCGCUUGGUGUCUACAAAGUUCUGCCACGAGACUAGAAGGAUCAACCUACAAGGGCACAAAGGUGAUACUGGGUCAUUAAGGCAAUAGGGAUAGCAGAGCACACAAGGCCGCCCUCUCCACCCACCAGCCCCCAAGGCUGAGGCCAGGCUGGGCUACCAGUAGGGGCGCAGCAGUGGACUUGACAAGCAUUCUUUUUUUUUUUUUUCCAACGAAUAUUAACACUUAAUAUGUGCCGGGCCCUGUUCUAUUUUGUCUGACCCUAAUGCUACACCGAUACUGUAUUGGCCUGAAGCUCUCAGAUUUACCAACCGUAAAAUACAGGAAACAGUACCUACCUCCUGGCCUGAUGGACUGUAAUAGAGUCCAUCCUUCCAGCAUAGGGAACCCCAACGUUAAGGACACUCGCCUUCCCAUCGCUUGGGGAGAGGGCUCCACACACAGCCCUGGGAUUGGGAAUUUGUGAUCCCACACUUCUAACGCAUCCACAAAGCCGGCAGCCCUAUCAUGUUUUUCGGUGAGACUCCCACUCUGAAAGUGAGACCUCAUGCCUGCUCCCCUCUCCUUACACCUCCCACAGCCCCUUCUGCCUGGGCUCCUAGCCCGUGGCCUUACCUCAUUCUUCAGAGAAAAACGAAAGCCUUCAGGAUCUUUCUCCUCUCCCAGUACCCAAACAGACAAACUUCCCUGUCGGGUACUCACGUCCUCCUCAGGCCUAGGACCCCAUCCCGCUGCCCUCCCCUCGAGGCUUUUCUGUGCCAUCAGCCUCACUCUGGACCGACUCCUGCCCCCAAACCCUCUCCUGCCUCUGGCCAUUUCUCCCUCCCUUCAGACAUUUCUGUAGACUUCCCUACACUCACCUCCUCCACCCCUUCCCGUCCCAGCCUCUCAUCACCCCAUCCAGCAGGGCUGUGUCCCCACCCCUUAACUGCUGCUAAGGUAACCUACAACCUCUCCGCUGCCCAAUCCGGGGGUCACUUCUUGGUCUCGCUGAGCUUCUCAGCAGCAGCUGAGUCGACCACUCCUCCUCCUGGAAACCCUCACUUAUCUGGACCUGGGGAUUCCAGUUCACCUGGUCCUGCUACCUCACAGGUCACUCCCCAUCAGUCUCCUCUGCAGCUUUCAACCUGUCAUCGUUGGGAUUCCUCCUUGCCUUUUUCCUUUCAUUAAUUUUUUUUUUAUCCAGAGUCUCACUCUGUCGCCCAGGCUGAGGCAGGAGAAUCACAUGAAUACAGGAGGCGGAGGUUGCAGUGAGCAGAGAUUGCGCCAUUGCACUCCAGCCUGGGCAACGAGCAAAAACUCCGUCUCAAAAAAACAAACAAAAAAAAGAUUAGCUGUGGCUGGAUGCGGUGGCUUACGCCUGUAAUCCCAGCACUUUGGGAGGCCAAAGCGGGCAGAUCACGAGGUCAGAAGAUCAAGGCCAUCCUGGCCAACAUGGUGAACCCCAUCUCUACUAACAAUACAAAAAUUAGCUGGGUAUGGUGGUGCAUUCCUGUAAUCCCAGCUAUGGGGUGGCUGAGGCAGGAUAAUCUCUUGAACCAGGUAGUCGGAAGUUGCAGUGAGCGGAGAUCACGCCACAGCACUCUAGCCUGGCAACAGAGUGAGACUCCGUCUCAAAAAAAAAAAAAAAAAAAAAGAUUAGCCAGGCGCGGUGGUGGGUGCCUGUAAUCUCAGCUACCUGGAGGCUGAGGCAGGAGCAUCACUUGAACCUGGGAGGCAGAGGUUGCAGUGAGCCAAUAUCGCCCCCCAUUGCAGCCUGGGUAACAGAGCGAGACUCCUGUCUCAAAAAAAAAAAAGGCCAAGAAACUCAUGCAAAGAUGCUCAAUGUUAGCCGUCAGGGAAAUGAAAAAACCACAAAGAGAUGCCACUUCUUGCCCACCAGGAUAGCACUCAUCAAAAAGAUGCAGUAACAAGUGCUGGAAGCCACUGCUGGUGGGAAUGUAAAAUGGUGCAGCUGCUUUGGAAAAUAGUCUGGCAGUUUCUCAAGAAGUUAAACAUAGAGUUGCCAUUUGACCCAGAAAUCCCACUCAGAGAUAUAUACCCAAAACAACUGAAAACAUAUGUCCACACAAAAACUUGUGGGCAAAUGUUCAUAGCAGUAUUAUUCAUACUUAAUGUCCCUCAUCUGAUGAAUGUUUAAACAAAGUGUGGUCUAUCCACACUGGAAUAUGGGUCAGCCAUAAAAAGGAUGCUACAACAUGGAUGAAUCCUGAACAGGUUAAAUGAAGAAGCUAGUCACAAAAGACCACAUAGUGUAUGAUUCCAUUUCUAUGAAAUGUCCACAACAGGCAGAAAGCAGAUUAUUGGUUGCUGAGGGAGAGAGGAAUGUGGAGUGACUGCAAAUGGGUACAGGGUUUCUUUCUGAGGUAAUGAGAUGUUCUUUUUGUUGUUGUUUUUUGUUUUUUUGUUUGUAUGAGACGGAGUCCCUGUCGCCAGGCUGGGGUAUAGUGGCGCGAUCUCAGGGUGCAAUCUCGACUCACUGCAACCUCCACUUCCUGGGUUCAAGCGAUCCUCCUGCCUCAGUCUCUCAAGUAGCUGGGAAUACAGGUGCGCACCACCAUGCCCAGCUAAUUUUUUGUAGAGACAGGGUUUCACCAUGUUGGCCAGGAUGGUCUCGAUCUCUUGACCUCGUGAUUCACCUCCCUCAGCUUCCCAAAGUGAUGGGAUUACAACCGUGAGCCACUUCACCCGGCGAGAUGUUCUAACAUUGAUUGUGGUGAUGGUUGCAUGACUCUGGAUAUACUAAAACUGCUGUAUCGGACACUUCUCAUGGGUGAAUUGUAUGGCAUGUACUAUGAAUUAUAUCUCAAGGAAGCUGUUUGGAAAAUAGAGAUAAUUAAAUAACAGAAAGAAUGAGGAGGAAGAAGACACAGAAGAACACAUCAUUCAGGGUCUCCGCGUUUCUGUAGAUUUCGUUUCCUUUGCAUCCUUCAUUUGCCAGGGUGUUGGAGGAGAUGGCCUCCCUGCCAGGACUUGAGACUUCAGGCCUGGCUUUCCACACCCACACCUUUGCUAGGGUGCCAAGGCCAGUGUGGGUGCCCCACCCCGUUCCCACAAGGCCACCCCGAGGAGUCCUCAUCCCCAUGCUCCUGGUGGGUCACGUCCACACUUUACGGUUAUGUCAAUCCUAACUCCAGCCUUGCAGCCAGGGCACCCUCCCGGUCCAGAUGAACAAAUGGAGGCCAGGCUGGGAGCUUGUCAUCGCGAUAAGAUUAUCGAGGGGAAGUGUGAGCCAGGCCCUUUCCUGCCCAGCCGCCCCGCCCUUUCUUUACAUUCCCUUAGGAAUGCUUUUCACUCUGUCUAAGAAGCUUCCCGUGAGGCAUGGGCGGACGGCAGCAGCAGGCCUGGGACCAGUGUGAGGCCUCCCUCAAGGGGCCGCAGGCAUGUGGGAAGACCAGCUCGGGCAGAGCUCAGACCUAGGCUGAAGCAGGUCUCUGCCCAGGAGAGGAGAGGGCCUCCUGCCUAAGCUGGCCUCAAGAUUCCCCACUUUUGGGACCUCUCUUCCCAGGAUUGCCCAGGGGUGAGGCUCCCACCAGGCCACGCGACCCAGAUCAUGCCCCUUGGCCUUCACAGCUCAGCUCGCAGGCCCCCUUCUCCAGGAGCCCUUCUGAACCUCCUGACCGCCUCAGCCCCCUGUCCCAGGCCCUGGUGUCCCCACUCCUGGCACUGAUGACAGUUGUCAUGAGCCAUGCUUAGGGCUACUUGUGUUUCCCUCCCCCCUGCCCCCACCCCGAAUUGUAAGCUCUGCAAGAUAGGGUCUCACUCUUGUGUGUCUGGAAUCCCGUGCCCAGCACAGAGCCUGCCACGCAGCAAGGGCUGCUUCAGUCACCACUGCUGACUUUGUCUUGGGGUCAGGCUGGGACAUUUAAACCAGACCCCAGUAAGAGUGUAGAUAUAUUGGCAGGGAUAUAGAUAAUGAGCAGAGCACUGGCUUCCCAGCAGCCUCGCAGCAGACAGAUACCGGCUACACCAACAUUUAGACCCUCAGAGAAAAGGGUGUUCUUUUCUCUGUCUAGAAACUGCCUUCCAAGAGUGGUUUCCUGGGCUGGGCACAGUGGCUUACACCUGUAAUCCUAGCAUUUUGGGAGGCCGAGUCGGGCGGAUCAGUUGAGGUCAGGAGUUCGGGGUCAGCCUGGCCAACAUGGUAAAGCCCCGUCUCUACUAAAAAUACAAAAAUUAGCCAGGCGUGAUGGUGGGCGCCUGUCUUCCCAGCUACUCAGGAGGCUGAGGCAGGAGAAUCGCUUGAACCCGAGAGGGGGAGGUUGCAAUGAGCCUAGAUCGUGCCACUGUACUCCAGCCUGGCGGACAGAGCAAGACUCCAUCUCAAAAAAAAAAAAAGAAAGGUUUCCUGGCUGAGGACCUACCCCUUGUCCACAAGAGUGACAACUAGCCCUCCCGUCCCCCAGGAUCUUUCAGUAAAAGACAAACCAGGGAACUCUCCCUGGGACAGACAGACAGAUACGGAUGGCCCUAGUGGGCAGGGGUGGGACGUGGAAAGGCUUGCUGGCAUUCAGUCCUGCGGAUGGUCAGGCCUGGCCCAGCUAGAUGGGCCUCCAUUCACCUCUCGUUCACAGAUGAGAGACACAUGGGGCUUUUCCCCAGGACACUGCAAGUACUGGGCCUGUCAAGAGUGACACGAGGGUGCCCUGGGAGGUGGGAUACCUGGGCCGUACUCUUUCCUCUACCAGCUUAGAUACCACGACACCCUUCCAACUGCCAUCCCCUAAUGACAUGACAGCCAGAGAUCAUCUUUGAAACAAGGGCUGGAUCACUUCCUUCCUGGCUUACAACCCCCACCACCCCCCACCCCCACCCCCGGUCCCUACGGGGAUUUCCUGUGGGCCAAGGAUGAAAUUCCAAACACUCCACAGCUGGCCCCAGGCACAUGAGGCAUGGCCCUGCCUCCAGCUCCACUUCGACUCCUGGCCUCAUGUCUCCCCUCCCCUUCACACCCUGCACCUGCCUCAGGGCCUUUGCAUAAGAGCAACAACUAGCCCUCCCCUCCUCCAGGAUCUUUCAGUAAAAGACAAACCGGGGAACCCUCCCUGGAACAGACAGACAGAGAGAUGGAUGGCCCUAGGAGGCAGGGGUGUGACACGGAGAGGCCUGCUGGCAUUCGGCUGUUUCUAGGCCGGGAACACCUUUCCCCCAAUCUUCCCAGGCUUCCUCUGCCUUACCCCACCUACAUGUCACCUCCUCCAGGAGCCUUCUGACCAUCCCAUCCAUGGGAGGUCCCCACCCCUGCCCACUCCGGGGCUGUGCCUCAUUACCAGCCCUGUCUCAGCUGCAGCCCUGGGACUCUUGGUUCUUGUAUCUCUCUCCCUCCCCAGACCCCACCCCGCCCAGGACCUCUUGGUGUUGCCGUCCUGCUUGCACUGCUCCAGUGUUCAGCAGUGCCUGGUCUAGAGGAGAAUGUGUCUCAGAGUCUCCUCUGCUGCGCACACAUCUUGGGGCUCCUGGGAGUGACGCAGGGGAUAGCCGAAGACCCUCUUCUCCUCCAGCCAUCUCCCUCAAUUUCCCCUAGCAUCUGCCUUGCUGGCAGCCCCAUAUCAUGUCUCUCCCUGCACUGGCCUAGCACACGGAGGGGAGAAGGGAGUGCCUGCUUCAUGGACAUGGGUUUCCUGCUGGAACUUCACUGUGGAGAUGGUUGUGCAACAUCGUGAAUGUACUGUAUGUCCCUGAAUUGUACAUUUGAAAAUGAUUUAAAUGGCCAGGCGUGGUGGCUCACACAGCUUUGGGAGGCUGAGGCAAGAGGAUCGCUUGAGCCCAGGAGUUCUGGGCUGUAGUGCGCUAUGCCGAGAGGGUGUCCGCACUAACUUUGGCAUUAAUAUGGUGACUUCCGAGGAGCAGGGGACCACCAUGUUGCUUAAGGAGGGGUGAACCACCACCCCAGGUCGGAAAUGGAGCAGGUCAAAACUCCCAGGCUGAUCAGUAGCGGAAUUGUGCCUGUGAAUAGCCACUGCACUCCAGCCUGGGCAAUACAGCAAGACCCUGUCUCUCUUUUUUCUUUUCUUUUUUUUUUUUUUUGAGACGGAGUCUCACUGUCACCCAGGCUGGAAUGCAGUGGUGCAAUCUCGGCUCACUGCAACCUCCGCCCCCUGGGUUCAAGCAAUUCUCCUGCCUCAGCCUCCCGAGUAGUUGGGAUUACAGGGGUCUGCCACCUCACCCCUAAAAUGUAUGUAAAAAUACAAUACUAAUUAUUGUAUUUUUAGUAGAGUUGGGGUUUCACCAUCUUGACCAGGCUGGUCUUGAACUCCUGACCUUGUGA
rnacentral:lncRNA from 1 species